rnacentral:rRNA from 1 species
GGAAUUGUUCGCAAUGGGCGCAAGCCUGACGACGCAACGCCGCGUGGAGGAUGAAGACUUUCGGGUCGUAAACUCCUUUCGACCGAGAUGAAUUUCCGCCGACCUAACACGCCGGCGGGGUGCCAGUAUCGAGGGAAGACGCCCCGGCCAACCCCGUGCCAGCAGCCGCGGUAAUACGGGGGGGGCAAGCGUUGUUCGGAAUUACUGGGCGUAAAGGGUUCGUAGGUGGCCGGCUAAGUCAGACGUGAAAUCCCUCAGCUUAACUGGGGAACUGCGUCUGAGACUGGUCGGCUCGAGUGCAGGAGAGGAACGCGGAAUUCCAGGUGUAGCGGUGAAAUGCGUAGAUAUCUGGAGGAACACCGGUGGCGAAGGCGGCGUUCUGGACUGCAACUGACACUGAGGAACGAAAGCCAGGGGAGCAAAC